UUGGCUCACUGCAACCUCCACCUCCUGGGUUCAAGCGAUUCUCCUGUCUCCUGUCUCCUGAGUAGCUGGGAUUACAGGUGCCUGCCACCAUGCCCAGCCUGGCUUUAUUUCUUAAGCUUGGUGGACUGGAAUACUAAGGCACACGGAGGUCAAAUAGCUUGCCUACAGUUACACAGCCAGUAAGUGGCAAAGACAGGAGUCAGACCCAGGCAGCCUGGCUCCAGAGUCCGUGUGCUUAGCCAUCAAGCUGUCCUACUCCACAGUGGUUAGACACUAUUUCUACGAAAACAGGGAAGCAGCUGUCAUAUCAUGAGGACACUCAAGUCAACCCAUUGAGAGGCCCACAGCGGGGAACUGAGGCCUUCUGCCAGCAACCAUGUGAGUGCACCAUCAUGGAAAUGGACCAUCCAGCCUCGGUCAAGCCUUCAGGUGACUGCAGCCACUUGAGUGACCCCGAGCCAGAACUAGCUGGCUAAGCCACUCAGGGCCAAUUUGUCCGCUAAACACAGGAGGCACCAUGCCUUGGGCCCACAAGACAUUUAGGACCAGUGAAAAUGUUUUUCACUUCUUUUAAAAUUAGGAGAAAGAAGGAACUUUUAGGUCAAAGAAAAUGUUUUUAAUAUAUAACAUUAAUAUAUUUAUCUUUAUACCAACACAAUCAUGAAAUGUGAUUUUUCAAAUAUUCUUUGAAAAGGGAAGAGGCCAUAAAAGGCAAAAGUGCCUAGGUCCCAUAAACAUCAUCAUGUGGUCCUGAAGCUGCUCCAGAAUUCCUGACCAACAGAAACUUGGAGAUAAUAAAUAC
rnacentral:lncRNA from 1 species